UAUUCCUAUCAGCUCUCAGAAUAUUUAAUAUUACAGAUUAGAUUUAUUCUGUAAUGAAGAUCGUGAUCACAGACUGAAGGACAGAAAGAGAGACGGGGGACAAACUGAUGGAGGAGUGGACGGACGGCUGUAGAGAUGGACAGAUGGAUAACGGAAGAUAGAUGGGUAGAGAUGGAUAGAGAUUUUGGAUGGGUGGAUGGGCCUGUGGCAGGAAUAAUUAUGCAGAUGGAUGACUGAGAGUUAAAGAGGUAUUUGAUUGGUGGUUGGGUGGUAGGUAGACUGUUUGGUAGCUGUGUGUUUUUUGUACUUGAUGGGUAGAUUUUAAGGUGGUAGGUAGGGUUUUUAUGGUUGUUGGAAGGUUGGUAGAUUUUUUUUUUGUUGUAAAAUAGGUGUUUAGGUGUUUGGUAGGUAGAUUGUUUGGUGAGCUGGUAGAUUGGUAUGUUGGUAGGUAGAUGUUUAGGUGUUUGGUAGUUAGGUUGUUAGGAUUUUUAGGUGUUUGGUAGGUAGAUUGGUGGGUUGGUAGGUAGUUUUUUAGGUGUUUGGUAGUUAGGUUUGUGGGUUUGUGCGUUGGUUUGUAGGUGUUUGGUAGGUAAAUUGUUUAGUGAGCUGGUAGAUUGGUAUGUUGGUAGGUAGAUGUUUAGGUUUUUGGUAGUUAGGUUGUUAGGAUUGUAGUUGUUUGGUAGGUAGAUUGUUAGGUUUGUAGGUGUUUGGUAGUUUGGUAGUCACGUUGUUAGGUUUGUAGGUAGAUUAGUGGAUUUUUAGGUGGUUAUUAGUUGGGUUGUUUGGUUUGUAGGUGUUUGGUAGUUGGGUUGUUGGGUUUGUAGGUGUUUGGUAGUUGGGUUGUUUGGUGUGUAGGUGUUUUGUGGUGGGUAGUUGGGUUGUUUGGUUUGUAGGUGUUUGGUAGUUAGGUUGUUGGGUUUGUAGGUGUUUGGUAGUUGGGUUGUUAGGUUUGUAGGUGUUUGGUAGUUGGGUUGUUGGGUUUGUAGGUGUUUGGUAGUUGGGUUGUUGGGUUUGUGGGUGUUUGGUAGUUGGGUUGUUGGGUUUGUGGGUGUUUGGUAGUUGGGUUGUUUGGUUUGUGGGUGUUUGGUAGUUGGGUUGUUUGGUUUGUAGGUGUUUGGUAGUUGGGUUGUUGGGUAAGCUGGUAGAUUGAUGCUGUAACAGAUUGUAUAAUCUGUGCUCUGCAGUAAAACUCGUUGGUAAUCCGGCUGCAGUUUUUCCUCUCUGUGAGGAUUAAUUGCUGGUUUGAUCAUUUCCUCUCUACACAUUUGUGGAAUAGCUCUGUAGAGCGCGCUGUGUGUUUAAGGUCCCGCGGUGUGGUUGCCGUGGCUCGUUGCUGUAGAGAGGUGAGGGGUGAUUAGUGUGUAGCGCUGCAGGGACCGAGCCGUCCCCUACUUCCUGUUAUACGGAGCUAACACUCUGCUCAUGUGUGAGACAGCUGUUCCUCUCUCUCUCUCUCUCUCUCUGUCUCUCUCUCUCUCUCUCUCUCUCUUUCUCUCUCUCUCUCUCUCUCUCUCUCUCUUUCUCUCUCUCUCUCUCUCUCUCUCUCUCUGUCUCUCUCUCUUUCUCUCCCUCUCUCUCUCUCUCUCUCUCUCUUUCUCUCUCUCUCUCUCUCUCUCUGUGUCUCUCUCUCUCUCUCUGUCUCUCUCUCUUUCUCUCUCUCUCUCUCUCUCUCUUUCUCUCUCUCUCUAUUGUAAUCAGGAUUUAAUAAUUCCUGGAACGGCUUUCACUUUCUAAACUCUGUUCUUCCUCUGCAGUUUUGCUACAAUUCAUCUUUGUUUUCAUGUGAAGGAAACAUUUAAAAUGAAAUAAAUCUUCUUACCGCAACACACACACACACACACACACACACACACACACAUCUGCAUUCUGCAUGGCCAGAUCAAAGAGCGUCGUCAGAAACUUUUACAUUUCAUAAAUCUUAGGCUCAUAUAAAAUUAUUUUGUUGACAGGAAAAAAAACACUUUCAAGUUUAUUUUUAAAACAUUCUCACACAAAUAUGAGAUAAACAUAUGAGUAAAAUAGCACUACUGAGGAAAAUGUAUGAGUAGAAUAGCACUACUAAAUUUAAUUUAUAAGUAGAGUAGCACUACUGAGGUAAAUAUAUGAGUAGAAUAGUAUUGCUGAGGUUAACGUAUGAGUAGAAUAGCAGUGCUGAGGUAAAUGUAUAAGUAGAUUGGCACUACUGAGGUAAAUGUAUACAUAUAAUAGCUCUAUUUAGGUACAUUUAUGAGUAGAAUAGCACUGCUGAGGUAAAUGUAUGAGUUUACUAUGGGCUUACUUAUUUACUGUUGUGUAUUUUAUGUUUUCUGCUUUUUUUUGA